UACGUAGGGCGAACGUAGUCGGAUUACUGGUGUAAGGUAGCUCAGGCGGUUUGUUAAGUCAGAAGUGAAAUCCUAGAGCUUAACUCUGGAACUGCUUUUGUAUACUGCAAGGCUUGAAUGUGGAAGAGGAGGAUGGAAUUUCUGGUGUAGCAGUGAAAUGCGUAGAUAUCAGAAAGAACACCAGUGGCGAAGGCGGUCCUCUGGUCCACUAUUGACGCUAAAGCACG
rnacentral:rRNA from 1 species